GCCACCUGAGGCUUCAUACUUAUCCACUUAUUAUUCACCUUGAGGAAUUAGGAUAGAGAGAUAGAGUUUGAUAGAGAGAUGGAGUUUGAACUCGAGGAGAAACCAAGAGAAAGCUUGGUUUUGUUCUAGCAAGCGAGCGAGCAAGUCGGGGCGUACGUAUAUUUUUGGUGUUUCGACAUUGCGUUUAAUCAGACCUUCCGUCCGAUGGCAUAAUGUUAAUCGCUUUGAGCCAGUAGUCUCGUGCUGCGUUGAGGUCGAGAAUUUUGGUACACUCAAAAGCUCACAACUUCACCUCCAGUCUGCUCAAUGUCGAGAUGUCAUCAUAUAAACAGAGGCUGUCGGCUGAUGGAAUCGUGGUGGGCGUCCACCUCCAGACUGCUCAAUGUUGAGAUGGCAUUAAAACAGAGGUUGCUGGCUGAUGGACCAGUGUAAAAAUUAUCCAUACUUUGUUAGUUGUUACCCUAUUAAAGUACCUUCUUGUAGUUUAUUUGCACUAAAAACUAAUGUAUAUAUUUUUUUUUACAAAAAAAUUCUUCCAUGACCUAUUGGCAAGCAGUUAAA